GGGCGACAUACACUCAAAGCCUGAAUGCCUAAGUCAAACGAUAGGGGGUUCAGGCCGCAGCCGACGCGCUGCCAGGGUGCAGAAAGAAAUGCCUGCAUCUCCCGUACUUGGAAAAGGUGUUCUGGUGUCACAAUU
rfam:Pantoea sp. AS1 3__len__376349, whole genome shotgun sequence.